AUGCCAUGAUGUGGACAUGUCCUCAAUAACUCUUUGAACCUUUCCCAAGCGUCAAAUACCGACUCAUCCUCCAAUUGCUGAAAAGAUAUAAUCUCAUUCUCAUACUU